rnacentral:rRNA from 1 species
CAGCAGCCGCGGUAAAACGUAGGUGGCAAGCGUUGUCCGGAAUUAUUGGGCGUAAAGGGCUCGCAGGCGGUUUCUUAAGUCUGAUGUGAAAGCCCCCGGCUCAACCGGGGAGGGUCAUUGGAAACUGGGAAACUUGAGUGCAGAAGAGGAGAGUGGAAUUCCACGUGUAGCGGUGAAAUGCGUAGGGAUGUGGAGGAACACCAGUGGCGAAGGCGACUCUCUGGUCUGUAACUGACGCUGAGGAGCGAAAGCGUGGGGAGCGAACAGGAUUAGAUACCCCUGUAGUCCCUGUCUCUUAUAC